rnacentral:lncRNA from 1 species
UUUAUCUUUGGUUUUUUCUCUUCGUAAUUUAUUUGUUUAUGGUUUUUUCUACACCUUUGGAAUCCUGUACUUUACUUGACUGUUAGUUUAAUAAAUCACAGUAGGGGCUUGCCCCUCCUGUUUCCCUUAAAAAAAAAAAGCAGACAGGAGCUUGACUUCAGAGGAUGCUGAAGUUACUGAGCAUCAUCGAACACAGAUGCUGAUGGAGACAAUUGAUGCAGAAGCACCCUGGAAUAGGGUAGCAAAAUUUUAACUCCUGACAAGUUCCCAAGCAAUAUCUUUUGAAAUAAGGAAACUCUUGGUACUGGUAGCGGCGGCAUAACUACUAUGUAUCUAUGUUCCGUUUUAUGGUUGAAUUCUCAGUCUUGAGUAGAUUCUAUACUUACCUGUUAAGAUUGAGUCUGCUUUGCUGUUUUCAGAUGUGCCAUUCUGUUUGAUGACCUUAGAUAAAUUUCAUACGACAUGAUUGUGUUAUCUGUGCUGGUUUGAAUGAGGAGUACAUCUGAUACUCUGUCUUCGUUACCAUAAGUAGAUUGCGCAAUUCCAACCUGUUUUAGUUUAUAGUUGAAAUUCAGCUUGUUUUAUUUUCUACAGUCUCUUUUGACUCCUUUUGGUUUUCAAAUCUAUAGCCUACCCUAGCUUGCUUGGGAUUAAGAAGGCUUUUAUGCCCUGUACAGUC